rnacentral:rRNA from 1 species
UACGAAGGGGGCUAGCGUUGCUCGGAAUCACUGGGCGUAAAGGGUGCGUAGGCGGGCCUUUUAGUCAGGGGGGAAAUCCUGGAGCUCAACUCCAGAACUGCCUUUGAUACUGAGGAUCUUGAGUUCGGGAGAGGUGAGUGGAACUGCGAGUGUAGAGGUGAAAUUCGUAGAUAUUCGCAAGAACACCAGUGGCGAAGGCGGCUCACUGGCCCGAUACUGACGCUGAGGCACGAAAGCGUGGGGAGCAAACAGG